UUGCUUACAGCCCCAGCCUUACACACCGCUCACCGCGCUGCUGUUCCCGCCAAAGCACCACAGGGCGCCAAACACGCAUGCUGUGAUCACGUGUGAGCCAGCGGUAAAUCUUGCCGUUAAGCGGCCGCGUUGCCGAGAUGUGAAAGACUCUCAGUCGUGCUCCAUGUCGGCUGUCUGGCACAGACAGUGCUGCCCUCACAGUCACGCUUAAGGGGCGCUUAUGGCCCCAAUGCUCCGCGAGCGCCUGGCGCUCUGACUCACAGGUAUGAGGCCGCUAAAGUGACACUGAGCUGCCAUACGGACUAAGAUGCACGUUUUACUCACGUUUGAGUCAAAGAAAUAGGAAAAAUUAUCACUGUGAUAAUUUUGUUCGAAGGUAUCUAAAUAAAAAUUUAAAGAUUUCUCUGAUUUUAAUGGUUUCAAUUAUUAUUAGUUAUGUUGAUGAUAAUUAUAACAAUAAUCAUAAUAAACAUUGUAUUGAGAGUGGGAGGUGACAGAGCUCCAAAUGCCAAAUUUAUUAUUAAAUAUGAGGCUCUUUUCCACUGAGGUUCAGGAACCUUGUUGACCUUCAUGCCAAAUAAGCAUUGGCAGACAAAAAUAGCUCAUAGGUUAAAGCUCACGUAUAAUUUCAUACAAAAUUACUUUGCCAUCCACACAAAACAAAGGAGGAUGAACAAGUAAUUUUGUUAGUUAUCAUCCUAUUUUGGGUAAAAUGGGUGAAUGAAUGUGGGUGCAGACUGCCCCUUUAGGUGGGGUGAAUGUGGCAGCAGACUGCCCUUUAGGUGGGGUGAAUGUGGCAGCAGACUGCCCCUUUAGGUGGGGUGAAUGUGGCAGCAGACUGCCCCUUUAGGUGGGGUGAAUGUGGCAGCAGACUGCCCCUUUAGGUGGGGUGAAUGUGGGUGCAGACUGCCCCUUUAGGUGGGGUGAAUGUGGGUGCAGACUGCCCCUUUAGGUGGGGUGAAUGUGGCAGCAGACUGCCCCUUUAGGUGGGGUGAAUGUGGCAGCAGACUGCCCCUUUAGGUGGGGUGAAUGUGGGUGCAGACUGCCCCUUUAGGUGGGGUGAAUGUGGGUGCAGACUGCCCCUUUAGGUGGGGUGAAUGUGGCAGCAGACUGCCCCUUUAGGUGGGGUGAAUGUGGGUGCAGACUGCCCCUUCAGGCUACCUGGGUCAUCUGGUCAGUUUGCUG